rnacentral:rRNA from 1 species
GACGAACGCUGGCGGCGUGCUUAACACAUGCAAGUCGAACGGAAAGGCCCUGCUUUUGUGUGGUUCUCGAGUGGCGAACGGGUGAGUAACACGUGAGUAACCUUCCCUUUACUUUGUGAUAACUUCAGGAAACUGGUGCUAAUACCGGAUAGGAGCUCCUGCUGCAUGGUGGUGUUUGGAAAGUUUCGGCGGUUGGGGGUGGACUCGCGGCUUAUCAGCUUGUUGGUGGGGUAGUGGCUUACCAAGGCUUUGACGGGUAGCCGGCCUGAGAGGGUGACCGGCCACAUUGGGACUGAGAUACGGACCAGACUCCUACGGGAGGCAGCAGUGGGGAAUAUUGCACAAUGGGCGGAAGCCUGAUGCAGAAACGCCGCGUGCGGGAUGACGGCCUUCGGGGUGUAAACCGCUUUCGCCUGUGACGAAGCGUGAGUGACGGUAAUGGGUAAAGAAGCACCGGCUAACUACGUG